GAGAAUUGUAUUUGUUUAGGGCCUUUUGGGGCAUUGAAAACAUAAUUGGGUAUGUUUGAUUGAGAUGUUGGAGCAUAGGUUUCAAUGGUAUUGAAGUGAGGGCAAUAUUGUUUUUGCUAAGAAGGGGAUCACCGAUCACGUGUUAGAGACGUGUUGUCAUGUUGAUGCUUGGGAUGUUGGAGCUUUAUUUGAUUAGCGGGAAUUUAUGUGUGUGGAAAAUUGCCCCAGGAAUUGCUGGUAAAUUGGUAAUAUAUUCAACUAUCAAGGAGGAAGGUUGCGGAGCUGGUAAUGGGAUUUUCACAGUGUGUGAUGGAUAUUGCAAGAGGGUAAACACAUUGUAUAGGGCUCUUGUGCAGUUCAGAGAAUGCUUUAUAAAGGGGUGAAAGGGUGAUGGAGAAUGCUCAAGCAGUUCACCUGUAUUGUUGUUCACAAUAUCCUAGUUAUGGAUUUUGACUGAUUGUUUAUUGAAAGAAGCUGCAGCUGUCAGACGUUCCCUUGAUCUCCUACUGAAAGGAUAUUUAAAGGGAAGCAAGUGAUUUGAAAUUUUUCUCCUGUCUUGUGGAGUUAAGAAAUCCCUUUUCUUGCAAGUGAAGUACAAUUGUUGUGCUAAAUUAAGGUAAGUGUAGAUAUAGUCACACGUAUGAUGUGUAUAUUUUAUAUUGUUGAUCGGGAAGAAAGAGCAAAGUGUAGUCGAAAUCAACAGCUUCUAUUUUGAGAAGAUGAAUCCUAUGAAGUUAGAAAGAGAAGAUUAGUGAUGAUGAUGUAUAUCAGUGAUGCUUUAAAAAGAAUGGGCAAUACUAACUGAAUGCUCGAGGAAGAGAAGGGAACAAGGUUAUGAGGCAUGACGAAUUUUUGAUGUUUGCCUUGUGCAUUGUAACUUAAAUUUUACUGUUAUGUUUUGUAACUAGUUAUGGAAGAAUAAAAUGUUCAUUACAUAAUUUGAAUUUUGAAAUUAAAUUAAGAAUUUUUUGUUCUUUUGGGCUUUUGACAAAUGAAUGAAAU